AACGAACGCUGGCGGCGUGUUUAAGACAUGCAAGUCGCACGGGAUCAUUCGAGUAGCAAUAUGAGGAUGGUCCAGUGGCGCACGGGUGAGUAACACGUGAAUGACAUGCCCUUCAGAGGGGGAUAGCCCAGGGAAACUUGGAUUAAUACCCCAUGGUAUCGCAAGAUUAAAGGCGGCCGCAAGGCUGUCGCUGGAGGAUUGGUUCGCGUUCUAUCAGCUUGUUGGCGGGGUAACGGCCCACCAAGGCUACGACGGAUACCUGGUCUGAGAGGACGAUCAGGCACACUGGAACUGAGACACGGUCCAGACACCUACGGGUGGCAGCAGUCGAGAAUAAUUCACAAUGGGGGCAACCCUGAUGGUGCAACGCCGCGUGGAGGAUGAAGGUCUUCGGAUUGUAAACUCCUGUCAUCCGGGAGCAAGACCUGACGGUGAAUAGCCGGCAGGGUUGAUAGUACCGGAAGAGGAAGGGACGGCUAACUUCGUGCCAGCCGCCGCCGUAAGAC
rnacentral:rRNA from 1 species